AUAUUUCCUUCACCUUCUAGCAUUUCAAAAUUACUGUAAACAUUGUGUUCGCACAUUUCCCUUUAAAAAAGGGUGACCAGUCUAUGAAGGGUUUCCUUGAUAAUUUUAGUUCUAGUUGCAGAAAGUCUCCAUGAGGACACAGUAUAGUUACCUAAAAGGCAACAAAUUUACAAACAAUAUCUUUACUUUUUCAAACCAAGAACCUAUGUGUUGAGAUAUUUUAAAAUUUUUGUGUAAUAGGGGAGCAGUUUUGUUUAAAUAAUGAUGCAUAAAUUAUCUAAAUAGUAGUGUUUAUGCUUCUUACCUUUUUCUUAAACAUAAUUUCCCUGCCCUACCCAAACAAAAUUUCAUAGUGUGAAACAGAUAACAGUUUAAUAGUUGCUAUGUUAUGUUUAACAAAGACUUUCUUGAUCUAGCUACUCUAGACCUAUCUGUCCGCCAAGAGAGUUGGGGCCAGAGGUAGUGGUAAUUAAGUAUCUUCGUGGUGUAAUUUUACAAAAAUUAAGGACGCUUGAAAUUCAUUAGAAAUGUUUAGAAUCUAACAGUAGUCUUAAUCAUUAACAGAUAAAAAUAAAAGUAUUAAGAUACUGGUAACCUUCUGACAUAAAAUGUUUUAUUUAUUGUCAUUUAUUGUCAUUGCUCUAUUAUGACACUAAGUCAUAAUGUUUAAUUUUGUAGAUAUAGAUGCAUGUUUCAUUUUAUUCAUGCAUUUUUUUUAUCCAUAUUUUGCUUGGUUGUUGACUUAAUAGAUCUCUUUAACUCUUUAAAAAGUUAUUAAAAGUUCAAUAUGCUUCAAAAACAUGGCAGCCUGUCUUUCCAAUAACAAUAUACGCUAUAUAAAAUUAAACUUAAAUAGUUUCUAAAAUAUAUCUCUUUAUCUUCAGAAAAAUCAAAUUACAUUUUCGUAAUCGCAAUUUUUUCUGCAGAUUCUUAAAAUAAUAUAGAAACCUAAUUUUGCGUACGUUGUAACGUAACUUAAUACCAUUAUAAGACUAAAAGUAAAUAGAUCUAGAUGCCAAUGAGAUAUAAAUUACACAUUUUAAAGAAUUUUGAAAAUCAGAUAAGUGGUUCAAAUGUUAUGAAUUGUUUUAGUUCAUUUUUCUGACCUCUUUGUCAUUUUAUUUUAAGAAAUUUUGUCCCACUUUUGCUCACUUUUGGUUAAAAUCAUUUCUUGUGAAUAAUGUUUAAAACUGAUGUUUCUCCAUACUUAACAAUUUUACUGCUUCAUACUGCUCUGUAACAAUAUUUGUUAAAUUUUCAGGAGAAAAACUGUCAAUGCUUUCUUUUCUUUGUUGACCUUGAUGCUGGAUUGACAUGAAUCUGAACUGCAUUGAACAUUCUCUCCAAGCCUUCUUUUUCUAUAGCCGCAUAUUUCUUUUCCCUGUCCAAUAACUUCCUACUAAUAUAUGCUAUUGGGAAUUUCCCAUCUGGAAAUUCUUGUAACAGGACUGCCCCUAGCCCCUGAUCGGAUGCGUCAGUUCUUACAAUCAACUGCCUGUUGAGAUCCACUUUAGUUGUCACAGGACGCUAGCAGUGUGCUGGUGCCUGCUUCAACUGGUCAUUGUCUAGGGCAAUUCUGGAGGCCCGACUGUUGACGCUGGAACGUGUAGGUUAUUAAUUUUUCGUGGCUUUAGCUGGUCGCGAUUUAGGUGUUUGUUUAUACAAUUAACAUAUAAAACUAAACACCAGAAUUUAGUUAGAAACACAAAGGCGUAUAACUUUAUUAACAUGCAAUAUAGAAUCUUCCAAAAAUGUUUAAAUACAGGUACAUCAAUAAAACUGGCGACUAAACUAAGAUCUCUAAAUGACUGUGAACGUUAGAUUUCAAUAUAGUAUUCUAGUACAAUAUUAGGAAAACACGAAGAAGCGGGAAAUGCGACUGUCCGCUCUACAAAACCCACGCCAAUUGCCCCUUUGUCCCCAAAAUCCCCAGGUCAUGUACAAUUUCCAGCAAUCACUAAAAAUCACAUCCAGGGCAAAAAAAUGAGUUCUGGCCCGUUGAUGCUUGUUGAACAAAAAAUGCAGUCUCUGUUUGCUGUAGUCCACUCUAUGUUGAUUAUUCUUGGACUUUUCUCUUGUUGUGUACCAGGGUGACAUGUUCAUUUAAAACAACAUUCUGUGUUAGCUGACAAAUAAGAACAUGCUUUUAGUCUUUAAGAGACAGUUUUCUUGUACCAGGUUUAUGGCUGAGGCAAAAUAAAAUAUAGGAGUUGGCUUAACACAUUUCAAACAGCCAAUAAAACAAUUUUUCCACCACCUGAUGGUUUUUCUUUCAAAGACACAGUAGUAGGUCACUUACUGGUCUAGCAUGACAAAAAUGAUAACAAGUUAAAUCCCAUGUAAAAAAAUCUACUUGAAAGAAAAAAUACAUGCUCUUUGCAAAUAACAAAGAUUAACAGUUAUUGACCCAUUAAAAAAAAGUUCUACAUACUGAUGACAUCUAUGUUAAUUGAUCUUCAAAGCCUGAUUUUAAAAAUGUGUUUUAUGUUAUUUAAUGUUCAUAAAAAUUAAAUGUUUCCACUUCUAUUCUAUUAAAUUUGUGUGCAUUAGGUUUGCCACCAUGCAUCCUCUUCUGCUACAUUUCAAACUUUUUGUCUUUAGCUUGUUUUUCCUUUUACUUGUUCUUUCUUUUAUUCUUUCUCCUCUUCCUUUUUGUUUUUCUCUUUCCAUCCAUUUACCUAAUUAUCUAUUCUCAAUAUCUUCUUUUUCUUAGCACUUUCUCUUCAUGUUCCUAAGUUCUUCACCACUUAUAAGACUUGGCAUUGUCUAGAUUGGCCACUCACUUUCUCCUCACUUUCCUAAAUUCUUCACCACUUAUAAGACAUGGCAUUGUCUAGAUUGGCCACUCACUUUCUCCUCACUUUCCUAAGUUCUUCACCACUUAUAAGACUUGGCAUUGGCCACUCACUUUCUCCUCACUUUCCUAAGUUCUUCACCACUUAUAAGACUUGGCAUUGUCUAGAUUGGCCACUCACUUUCUCCUCACUUUCCUAAAUUCUUCACCACUUAUAAGACUUGGCAUUGGCCACUCACUUUCUCCUCACUUUCCUAAGUUCUUCACCACUUAUAAGACUUGGCAUUGUCUAGAUUGGCCACUCACUUUCUCUUCAUUUUCCUAAGUUCUUCACCACUUAUAAGACUUGGCAUUGUCUAGAUUGGCCACUCACUUUCUCUUCAUUUUCCUAAAUUCUUCACCACUUAUAAGACUUGGCAUUGUCUAGAUUGGCCACUCACUUUCUCCUCACUUUCCUAAAUUCUUCACCACUUAUAAGACUUGGCAUUGUCUAGAUUUCUCUUGCCAUUCACUUUGCCUUUUAUAAAAAGGACAGUUGGAACACUUUGUCACUAGUGAUUGUUGCUUGAUUGCUGGGAUGUCACUUUACUUUGCACAUGUCAUCCUAGGUGUGCAACAACUUCAGGAAUUGUUGGCAUCAUCAUUACAACCUUGGGAUUGGUAUCCAUUUAAUUUGGAACAGAACAUUUCAUAGCUGAUGUAGCUCAAUCUUGUGCUUUAUUAUGUCUGUUAGGCCUAAUUCCUUAGUGAUGACAUCUUCGUAUUCUACUAGUAGCUGCUUGAUUCCUCAAAUUCCUUUGGUAUUUCUUUAGAUACUUCUGUAUUUUGUGACACUGCACAUAUUUCUUUACCUUAUUAAUUACUUGUGAUUACAUGCGCAUUAUUCAAGUCAAUCAUAGCAACAUCAUUAGCUAAGAGGCACUGUUAUAUUUUCUUUAUUUAUCAAUGCUUACAAAGAAUAGCUUGAGGGAGUUUUUUUUUCUGCUGGAGCCUCUGACAUGUGCUAUUUCUGACCACAGAGUCAUCAAUGCUGUCUCAUGCCAACAAUGUUACCAGAACAUUGUAAACUCUGGGGUUACCCUCCACUCUAUGCUUAUGGUGUAUCUUAAAGGUUUUCUUGACUUUAGCCAUGUGGCCCAUUCAUCUGUCACACCCAGGAUGAUUGCUUCCACCACAAAGUCUGGUUCACACAAAGGAUUUUGAAAUAUCCUUGAUCUUUGUCUUGUUGAUUGUGGGAGACCCAGUGGAGAGUGAUGUAGACUUUUCUCCCUCCAAAGGACUCAUCUCAAUUGUAAUGUGACUCUCCUCCCCAAUGGAUUUCUACAAAUGAGAUUCGGAUGUGUUUGGAUCCUCUCUUUGUCUAUUUCUAAGUAGAUUGGUGAGUCGAGAGAGCUCAACUCUAGCUUUCCUUCCUCUUCUCCUUUCCUCUGACUGAGCAUUCUCACUUGGAUCCUCAGAGAGUUCUUUGCCUUUUGUUUUUUUUUGUUGUUUUUUUGGUGUAGUUGGGGCUGAGUUGUUCCCCAUUGUUUUGAGGUUUUUUUUUUUGUCUUUUUUUCUUUCUAGUCCAGGCUCAUUGGGCAAGGUCUCACCACUUUAUUGAUAUUGUUGGUUUCUUGGAUUUACUGUGAUUUUUUUCUCCCCUUGAAGUUGGAUUUAUUAGGGCAUUUGUUUAAUCAGUGCCAGCACUGUUGUCUCCUCCCUGGAAUGAUAACUAGGACUUUGUUUUACAUACCAUCAUCCUCAUACUUGAGAUUAAUGUAAUGUGGGACUUCUGUCCCUUUCUUAAUUUUGAGCCAUGCCGCCCAUUCUCGAGUUUUUUCCUGUCUUCACUUCUCUUAGCAUUUUGAAUUCAGGAUAUAAUUGAAUUUGGAUGAGGUUCGGGUUUUGAACUAUGCUAUCGACGUCAAAUUCAAUAUGUAUUAUAAACAAAUUAAAAAUGAUUCUUAAGGAUUACCUUUAAGAUAAUGGCAAACACUUCUUCUCUGCAGCUUUUCCCUGUUAUUUUUCAUGUGACUCAUCUUGUGGAACUUUGGUUAUUGUUGCUGUAAAGCUCUGUUUGGAGAGGUUCACUUUCAUAUCCUGGGUCCUUUUAAUAGAUGUCUUUAAUAACUGAGGUAGUUAUUCCAAUCUAGCAAGCUGCUCAUUUUUUUUUUGGAGUUUAUUGAAUACUUGAUCUAUUAUUCUUACACCAUUUGUAUAUCAUUAUCAAAACUGUAAGUUAUCUUUUGGUAUUUUUAAAAAUCUAAUUCUAGCUAAUGCAGUAUUCUUAUUCUAUUGAGAGUUAUUUCAUUUUUAGAAGUAUUAAAAAUGACUUUAGUCAUUCAUUUCCUGUGUAUUUCUUGACAAGUGAAAUUUUUUGGAGCAGGAAUCUUUCUUGUCCUUUGUUUCUUUUUCAAUUUUCUAUAUCUUACAAUUUUCUUUGUGCCGAUGUGCCAAAAACUCAAACUCUUCUUUGUUCAAUGAGAAGUUUUAGAAUCUUUCCUAAAGUGACUAAAAAGAAAAGGACAAUGUUCAAUAAGACUCAAAGUCAUCUUUUGGCAUAGUUUAAAAAGUUGUUCUGGAUUAGGGUUAGGAUUAGUUUCACUGGAUGUUGUUUUGAAUUUGGAUCAAAAGAAUAAAGGAAUUAAGAAAAGUGUUGUGAUGAAUCAGAAACACUAUAAUUUGUGUUCUUCUCAAGAUUGAUUCCUAGAACUUCAGGCAGUUGAAUCUCAAAGUCAGAAAAACACCAAAACCACAUUAUCCACUCAGUCAUGUUGGACAUUCCCGUAGACUAUUUCCUGUGUCCUCUGAUAGUGACACAGUUCACUUGGUGAUAGUGACACUUGGUGAUGAUUGCUACUUAUCUGUUCAAAGAGAUUAACACAACAAAUAAAGGCAGCAGUAGCUAAAUCUAGACUGUAAGGCCCAAAAGAAAGCAACCAUCAUUGACUCAUCAGUCCAAGUAAAACCUGUUGUACACAAAAAGAAAACAGAAGUGUCUGCUAGAGGGAAAAUGUCAAAAAAAAGACAACUGGCCUGAUUGUUAAAGACAGACUAGGUGCACAUGGACAAGCUGUCUUAGCCAAGUAGAGCUCCACUGGCACUGACUCAGACUCCAAAGCUGCCUAUGAAAAAAUCAAAUGUUGUAAGGAAGAUAAAAUCUGCUGGGAGGCCAAACUCGACCAAGCACCGGUCCGCAAAGAACAAGUUGACCUCUGCCCGGAAAGGCCACCAAAUCACAGAUUUAAAAGAAAGAAUCAUUGUGGUCACUGUCCCUUUCAGCUGGCACCCUUUGCUGAGGCUUGGUUCUGCUCCUUGAUGCCACAUUGUGUUGCCUCCCUUUGUGUUUUUUUACAAUUUGUGUUCGUGUACGGCUGCAGGUUUUUUUAUCUGGAAUAAAUGGUGAAAUGGGCCUACAUGUUGUCUUGGUUAUUUGUUCAAUUCUGUGCCAAACCCAGCAAACAAAAUUAUGUAUAUCAAAGAAAUAUUCAGAAGGAUGAUAAAAAAAAAGAACUGAAGGCAAAAUCCUUAAACCUGGAGCACAACAGUAAGGAGAAAACAAAGCUACACAGUCUCAUGAAAGCAUCUAGCUCAUCAGCAACUUUAGAAGAGUGCUAAAACCAUCUGCAAAUAAAAACAUAUGAAUCUGAAGAGUCAAGCCAUCUGACUGAACUAGAUUCAUUAGAGGACUUAUGAUGAUGUCAUGAACACUCUACCUCUACAGAGCCAAGCAGUACCCUUCUUACAUUAUAGGCACCAGGCAAAUUAUUUUUAGAACCUUCAACAACCUGGUCUUUCUCUAGGUGAGAAUGGUCACCAAGUAUUUGUAGUCAUGGACCCAGCUCAGUUGGAACAGAUUUAGGUAAUGCUGGUCACCUUUCCCAUAAUUUUUUAACUUUUGGUUUAGCUAAGACAGUGAAAUGUGUUUUUAUCCUUGACAUUCAAUCACUUUUUUUUCAUACAUACAUACAAGGCAUUUAACUUGAUGCUUCCUAUCCAGUCAUUUCAUAGGAAAUGAGACUACCUAGGCUAUAUCACAUAUAAUUUGAAACUGACAUCUUUCCCAGAAAUAACAUUGUUAGGAUUCAAUGGAGACAUAAGCUUAUCAGGCAGUUUUCAAAUCUUUUUUUAGAACUUAAAAAAUACCAUUGAUUACACUAGUUUAUGUUUUCUCUAGCAACUGGCUGUUCAACUUUUGGAAAGUCUAAAGUAAUGAACAGACCAGUCUCAUGGGUUGGAAGAACAAAUAGCUGAAAGUAAAAAAGCAAGGCAAUAAAUUGAUGUUGAUGAAAGCUGUAUGAUCUUUUGCUCUAGAUUUAUUCAUCAGAAAAGUGUUGUGUCAACUGAAUCACUUAGUUGUUUGUGUUUUCAACAACAUGAACAUGUUUUUUUUUAUAUUUUUAACUUGUUUCGUUGUUUUUUUAUUUAUUCUAAAAAUUAUCUAAUCAAAUGUGUACAUAAAGUAUGAUACUUGAUUCAGUGCAACAACAAAUUGCACUCAGAAGAAUGAACUACUGUGUAGUCAUGUGAGGAGAUAAGAACUUUGAUCCACCCAUCAAACCACUGCAUUGUAGUUUAUUAAAAACUAUACCAGGAGCUUUUACUAAUUGUGUUUCUGUUCAGUAUAGUGUGGAGAGAAUGGUAGAGUGAUUGUGGGUGGGAUAGAGCUUUGUGUUUUGUCUAAUGAUUAAAAUAAUUAUAAAUACAAGCCAGCAGCUGUAUGCUGUCAAUUAAUCAAGUGUGGGAAUAUCAUAAGCUGGCCAUCCAACUAGUGGCAGUCCUAAAUCAACAUGUACAGUAUUUCUGUUUUGUAAACUAGGACUUGUUCUUGUUGCCUCAUUUUAUUUUAAUUGCUGACUCAUGAGAUGGAAAUAUUAUAUAUUUUUGAUGGAUCUGUUUACAUCUUAGUGUUACUUUGUAUUAUGUUAGUGAUGUCAAUGAUUUGUUCAAAUUGAAAACUGGAGUCAAAUGUUCUUUGGUGGAUAUUCAUGUUGAUUGCUGUGAAUGAGUUUUAAAUGGAAAAAAAAUAUUGAUAUGAAAGAUAUGAGCAUUUAUGUAUUCUUUAAAUAAGAUUAAAGUAAUCAUACCAAUGCU